CGAUUCUUCUCCAGUCCUUUGCUGCUCCUGCUACUGCUCUUGCCUACCCUGCCCACCCAGCCUUUCCCUCCUUUUGUUUUGCCGCCACCUCCUCCGGGAAGUCCUCCCCAGAGGGGAGGGAAGUAUGCAGCCCGCCUGCCAGACGGAUGCGAACCCUGGGGAGCCAGACUCUGGGGGCCGCAAGCUGGAGGGUCAGGGGAAAUCAUGGCUGCCCACAUCCAGAAAGAUCUGCUAUGCCCUGGGAGAAGCUCCAUACCAGCUGACUGGCAAUACUAUUUCCUUCUUUCUGCAGAUUUUCCUCUUGGAUGUAGUACAGCUGGAUCCCUUCUGGGCCUCCUCCGUUAUCUUCCUCGGCCGAGCAUGGGAUUCAGUAUCUGACCCCAUUGUUGGCUUCCUGGUGAGCAGAAGCCCCCGGAGGAAGUGUGGCAAACUGAUUCCAUGGGUUUUGGGCUCUACCCCCUUUGGUGUCUUGCUGUACUGCCUCCUCUGGUUCACACCCUCUGACACCCUCCCCACCUCCUGGAAGUUCUUCUGGCACCUGACCACCUACUGCUUCUUCCAGACAUGUCUGAGUUGCUACCAUGUGCCAUACACUUCGAUGACCAUGUUCCUGGGUGGAAGCCAGAGAGACCGAGACUCUGCCACUGCCUACAGGAUGGGGAUGGAGGUCCUGAGUACCCUCAUUGGCACUAGCCUCCAGGGGCUGAUUGUGGGCAAAUAUCACGCCAGCGUGACCUUGAACUGCCAGGGACUCAAUGGAUCCCUGUCUAAUGAGACCAUGGGCAACAGCACCUCCCCACUCACUGACACAUUGGAAAACACACGAAUGGCCUACCUGACAGCAGCCAUGGUCAUUGGGUCCCUCUACUGCUGCUCCUGUGCGGUCCUUGUCCUUGGGGUGAAGGAGCAGCACGGGCCGCUCAGCACCUUGUACCAGUCCAGACUCCCAUUUGCUUACAGCCUGUUCACCGUCAUGGGCCACAGGCCCUACACUCUCCUCCUAAGUGGAUUCCUCUUUGUCUCCAUGGCAUUCCAGAUGGCCCAGGGAAUCUUCGCCUUCUUCUGCACCCAUGCCGCUGGUCUCUCUGGGACCUUCCAGUACCUGGUGCUCAUCCUACUGGUGGUAGCCUCCCUCUCCAUUCCAUUCUGGCAAUGGUUCCUGGUGAAGUUUGGGAAGAAAAGUGUAGUUUUUGUUGGGCUUUCACUCAUCAUCCCAGCCUUCGUUAUUCUCGUCCAGGUGACACACAACUUCCUCACCUUUGCUCUCACCAUGAUCUUGGUGGGCUGCAGCACAGCCGUGCUCUUCUUGUUGCCAUGGUCCAUGCUCCCAGAUGCUAUGGAUGAUUUCCAGCUAAAGUAUCCCAGCUGCCAGAACCUGGAAGCAUUCUUCUACUCUUUCUACAUCUUUGUCAACAAGUUUGGAGGCGGCCUGGCCCUGGGGAUCUCCACCGUGAGCUUACAUUUUGCAGGCUACCAAGCUGGGGACUGUGAGCCAAAUCCUAUGGUGAAACUGAUUCUCCGAGUGCUCAUGGCCCCUGUUCCUAUCACCCUGUUAAUCAUUGGCCUGACUAUCUUCUGCUUCUAUCCCAUUGAUGAGGAAAAGAGGAAGGAGAUCAGAGCAAAGAUGGAGGCAGCCAAGACCCUAUGCUCAACACUGGAAACACAAAGAGAUAUAAUAUGUACUCUUUCCUUGGCUUCUAUGAUCCUGUAUUCUCAAAGCUCUCCUGAAAGAGCUUAUCAUCUGGGGAAAGCCAAGUAUACAAUUAGUAAUGAUAUAGGAGAGAGUAAGAUCAAGUGAUGUCGGAGGCCCAGAUACACUAUGAGGAAUUGGAAGAGGGAGAGAAUGCUUCCAUCUCAGUGGAGAGAAAGAACAAGGACAUCAGAGGAAGCCUUCAUCGAAUUGGCAUCUGAAUUGAGUGUUGAAAAAAAAUUUUUUUUUAAUGGAGGGACCCAUUAUGCCAGCAGCUGUGAUUUCAAAAGGAGCCCAAGUUCCACUUUUCCCAAUCAUGAAGAUGGUGCUACAGCUGGAGGAACAAUAAACAUCUGGUGGGGCCUUUUCCUUGCAGCUCUUCCUGGGAAGGUUCCUGUUUAGUCACCAUCAAGCUGUGUCAGUCAUUUGAGGAUACGUGCCAGACCCAGAGGGGAAGAAUACACUUAGAGAACUCCAGAAUAUCUCCUUGCAUCCUUCCUGCUUGAAAACAUGACCUCAGCAACAUAUGCUGUCAGUCCUGGAAAGAACCUUAGAGAUCAUCUGAUCUAAACCUUUCCUGUAUGGAGGAAGGAACUGAGGCCCAGAGAGGGCAACUAAUUUAUCCAAAGCCCCACAAGCAGGACUAGCACCCAACUCUGACUUCCAAAUCUUACAUUCUUUCCAGGACAUGGCAUUGUUUCUCCUUGAAUCUCUAGCUCAUCGGGGGGUAAAUGCAGCUUUGGAGUAUAUGGACAUAAAAGAGGUUUCCGUGCUUUCUUUAUUGCAGACAGCAGAGAGGAAGCCUGGUUUUUAGCCCUGUUUCCAGGAGGCCCACGACAACCAAAGCCAUUCUGAAUGCUUACCUCUUUGACAGGGCUAGGUCUACAAGCCCACCUUCUUCUACAAAGAUUUACCUUUAUAUAGUACUUAAAGACUGGGGACAUCAAAGGAAGCUGAGAUUCAGAGGGGUGAGAGGAUUUGCCCAGUUAGACAGCGAGUAAGUGACACAGCUGGGAUUAAAACCAUGGUCCUCUGUCUUUAAGCCUUGUGCUCCUUUUACUUAACCUCUGUUUGCCUCAGUUUCUUCAUCAGUAAAAUAGGGAUCUAUAAUAGGGAUCGUCAUCUGUAAA